AAGCGAAACCGCCUCGGGCAACCGGGGCGGUCUGCCGGGCGUGGUUGCCUGGUACUGAUGAGCAGCCGAGU
rnacentral:hammerhead_ribozyme from 1 species